rnacentral:rRNA from 1 species
UAGGGAAUCUUCCACAAUGGGCGCAAGCCUGAUGGAGCAACACCGCGUGAGUGAAGAAGGGUUUCGGAUCGUAAAACUCUGUUGUUAGAAAGAACAAGGGUGAGAGUAACUGUUCACCCCUUGACGGUAUCUAACCAGAAAGCCACGGCUAACUACGUGCCAG